rnacentral:rRNA from 1 species
CCAGACUCCUACGGGAGGCAGCAGUGGGGAAUAUUGCACAAUGGGGGAAACCCUGAUGCAGCAACGCCGCGUGAGUGAAGAAGUAUUUCGGUAUGUAAAGCUCUAUCAGCAGGGAAGAAGAUGACGGUACCUGACUAAGAAGCUCCGGCUAAAUACGUGCCAGCAGCCGCGGUAAUACGUAUGGAGCAAGCGUUAUCCGGAUUUACUGGGUGUAAAGGGAGCGCAGGCGGCGCGCCAAGUCUGGUGUGAAACCCCGGGGCUCAACCCCGGGACUGCAUUGGAAACUGGCGGGCUGGAGUGUCGGAGGGGCAGGCGGAAUUCCUGGUGUAGCGGUGAAAUGCGUAGAUAUCAGGAGGAACACCGGUGGCGAAGGCGGCCUGCUGGACGACAACUGACGCUGAGGCUCGAAAGCGUGGGGAGCAAACAGGAUUAGAUACCCUUGUAC